CUUGGACAUUGUGCACCUAAACUCUGACAAAAUACCUAAGUUGAGGGUGGCUAUCAUAGAGGUACAUAGUAUAAAGUAGGUAUGGAGAAGGAUAAAAUAAGAGAAAAGUUAGUAUGGUUAGUAUGGCUGGGUGUGGUAGAAAAAGAAAAGAAAAUAAAAAUUGUGAAAAUGAAAGAAUAAAGAAACCACACCCAACCUAAAGUGUAUAAAAGAAUAAAGGGAGAAAUAAGGGUGGAGUAAAAGGAAAUUGUUUAAUAAGUGAGACCCCAAGGUUAGAGCAGUGUCAUUAAGGAUUAGUCACUUUAAAUGUCCAUAUGUAUCAUACCAGCCUCAAGCCUACACUACAAGCCAAGAAAAAUCCUAUAGUGAUCCUAAUUUGACUGUCUGAAAGUUAAGGUAAAGAACAUAAGGGCAAGCCUAUGGUAUUUGACAUGCAUUGAUUGGAACUUCUUUUUGAGUGCGAGUGUCUCUGGGCUAUCCCUUCAUUGACAUGCUUGAUUUCAAAUAUGAGUGAGUGGGACUUCUUUUGAUGUGAGGACACAUGGGUAGUACUGCUAGUUGCAUAUUUGUUCGGGUAGUGUAACUUGUGUAUAUGCAUAGUUGUUUGUUGGUAAUGUAAUGUCAUAUCUUAAUUCCUUUGUGUCACAUUGUUGUGCUUCAUUAAUACACACACUUGUUUUUAAAGUGAUUGAACUUGGAGAGGGUAAUGUGUUUUGAGCUAAAAUUUAUGAUUGACUACCAUAGGUAUCUUACGUUUCUCUUGGUUAAGUACUGUCAUAUUAUUUUGUUAUAUUGUAUUGAUUGAGGACAUAUAACACUUUAAGUUGAGGGUGUUGAUAUACUGUGAAUUUAUAGCAUUUUAGAUGCUUAAACUACGAGAAUAUGCAUGUACUUAAGGUUAUUUUAUUGGAUUUGAUGUGUUUCUGGAGUGUUUUGCAGGAAAUUAGGUUUCGGAUUCUAAAUUCAAGAAAAAGAUGAAAAGUGAUUUUUUGGCAACUUAUUUGAUCUAUUUUGGUAUUUGUGACUCAUUACAAAUGUUUGUGACUAAAGCAUAUGAUUGAAGUUGAAGAUUUGAAGCUUGGUUGCAAGUACUAGAGUUGAAGAUCCCAAGAGUUGACUGUGCUUCAGUAAUUUAGCCAUAACUUUUCACCCCGAUAUCGGAUUGAGGCAAAAUUGAUAUUGUUGGAAAGCUAAUUCAAUUAUCUAUCUGAUAGUUGGGACUUUUGCACUUACUUAGUCUCUAUGCAGACCUAAAGUAUCACUUACGGUCCGUAAGUGGCAAAAGUAAGUGACAUAAACCAAAAUCCUGAGAGCUAAGCUGCAGGACUUGUACCUGCACCCUAUACCUAUGCCCACCCUUCUGUCCAUCGGUACUACCUACGCCCAGGGUUAGGGAUUAAGUGCAUUGCACAAGUGGCCACCAACUCAGCUUUUUUGGAUCGUUUAAAAAUCAUUUCUUAGGGUUUCCAUGUAUCCUAAUUACACUCCUAUGAUGUUUUUAAGUCCUAUUAUAUAUGGGUAAUAAAGUUUUCCUAUUUUUGUUAAGAUUUGAUUUCUAAGGGUUUUUGUAAUCAGUAAAUACCCUUUAGGCUUUGUAUUGAUUCACACAGUCACUGAUACAUUCACAUAUUUAGGGGUAGGCCCUUAGGGGCUAUCCUAUACUCUCUUUGCUCUUGAUUUGUUUUUGGUUUGUUAUUCAAUUUAAG
rnacentral:lncRNA from 1 species